rnacentral:rRNA from 1 species
GCGAGGUGGAGGCAAAUCCCCAAACCACGGUCCCAGUUCAGAUUGCAGGCUGAGACCCGCCUGCAUGAAGACGGAAUUGCUAGUAAUCGCGGAUCAGCAUGCCGCGGUGAAUACGUUCCCGGGCCUUGUACACACCGCCCGUCACACCAUGAGAGUCGGUAACACCCGAAGCCUGUGAGCUAACCGUAAGGAGGCAGCAGUCGAAGGUGGGAUCGAUAAUUGGGGUGAAGUCGUAACAAGGUACC